rnacentral:lncRNA from 1 species
GAGUGCAGAAUAAGCACAAUAUCAAAAGAGAGGGAGAGAACUAAAAUUGCCUUGAAUUUGGAUGAAAUCGCCAGAAUAAUGAAAACCGACAUUGUGGGCAAAUCUAAAUGAAGUGCAUGUUUCCCAGCAAACUAAUAAGGAGAUAAACAUAAAUAAAUAAAAAGAUAAAAUAGAUUACAAACUCGAAUAAAAACAACCAUCAAAAUAAUAAAAAUAACAGCAUAGUUCAAAAUAAAAAUAAAAUAAAGAAGUCUCACAAAUAAAAAUAACACAACUAACAAAACAGAAGAAAAAAAAUAAAAACAAAAGUACAACUGGAAAUAAAAAUAAAUAAACUAGAAUAGUAAAUCAGGUCAUGGAUCGACGUCGUGCAAAAUGUCGGAAUCCUGAGGCGCAUAAUUGAGCGGAGAAAUAUUGAAACGCUGGCAGAUCCGCUGCAAAUACAC